rnacentral:tRNA from 1 species
AAAAAAUUAGUUAAAUAAUAACCUUAGUAUGUCAAACUAAAAUUAUCAAUUCUAUGAUAUUUUUUA